rnacentral:piRNA from 1 species
CCCCAAAGCACUACACCUUUAAGCAAUGGCCU